rnacentral:rRNA from 1 species
ACUCCUACGGGAGGCAGCAGUGGGGAAUAUUGCGCAAUGGGCGAAAGCCUGACGCAGCGACGCCGCGUGAGGGAUGAAGGCCUUCGGGUUGUAAACCUCUUUCAGCAGGGACGAAGCGAAAGUGACGGUACCUGCAGAAGAAGCACCGGCCAACUACGUGCCAGCAGCCGCGGUAAU